AUUGAACGCUGGCGGAAUGCUUUACACAUGCAAGUCGAACGGCAGCACGGACUUCGGUCUGGUGGCGAGUGGCGAACGGGUGAGUAAUGUAUCGGAACGUGCCCAGUCGUGGGGGAUAACGUAGUGAAAAUUACGCUAAUACCGCGUACGAUCUAUGGAUGAAAGCGGGGGAUCGCAAGACCUCGCGCGAUUGGAGCGGCCGAUAUCAGAUUAGGUAGUUGGUGGGGUAAAGGCCCACCAAGCCAACGAUCUGUAGCUGGUCUGAGAGGACGACCAGCCAAACGGGAACGGAGACACGGUCCAGACUCCUACGGGAGGCAGCAGUGGGGAAUUUUGGACAAUGGGCGAAAGCCUGAUCCAGCCAUUCCGCGUGCAGGAUGAAGGCCCCCGGGUUGUAAACUGCUUUUGUACAGAACGAAAAGGUUUCUACUAAUACUAGGAGCUCAUGACGGUACUGUAAGAAUAAGCACCGGCUAACUACGUGCCAGCAGCCGCAGUAA
rnacentral:rRNA from 1 species